GGGAAUGUGGCUUAGUGGUAGAGUGCUUGCCUUGCAUGCAUGAAGCCCUGGAUUCCAUUCCUC
rnacentral:tRNA from 1 species